rnacentral:lncRNA from 1 species
CAGGAAUCCAGAGACACUGGACAUUUUGUGAUGGCCCGAAUGUGAGAGGCUCUCUUCAACUUUGUGCUUUUGCUUGGGGAUAGAUCACACCACGCUCUCCUUUUUAUGUAAUUUUUAUAAGUUUUUCAAAGAGAAGCUUUCCUGCCAUGUCUCCCUAAGCAAAGGGAGUCUAAGCAAAUAUCCCCUGAUCAGUGCCAACAUCUCUGACAGGCUCUCCUUGUAACAUAUGCAUGUCCCAGCUCUCUCACGACACGUACAUUGGUUCUAUAUGUCUGUUUACUGGCCUGUCUCUCCAGGACAAACAUGCUCUCUGUGGGCCAGGACAUUUUGCAUCAUUGGAACAUAAGGGCCUUAGGUUUGGCAUAUAUUUAAAGAUUAUCAAAUUUAUCAAAUGAAUAAGAAAUGAAUAAAAAGAAGAGAAUUUUUUUAGUUUGUGAAUUCAUAGCUAUCUUAUGCCUUAAUAGUAAAAAAGAAUAAUCUAUUUAGUAUCCACCUCUAUCUAUUCUCCUGAAAAUAAUAGUUUUUAAAGCAGAGUUUAACAAAUCCUAGUUUGUAUAACUUUAUAUGAACUCAAUAUAAAAAUACAUGAAUUUGUGUUAUGCAUAGAUACAUUAAGAAUCAUUUCUGACUUUAAACAAAGGAAUUAAAAAAAAAAAACUCCCUUGUUGGAAUUUAAAAUAUGAGGUAAUUUUCAAAAUAUUGACUAAUAUGUUAACUUUUAACAAAAUGUAUUCACUUUGAAAUGCGUCAUAUAUCUUCAGAGACAAGUACACAGUCAAAUAAAUGUCAGUGCAGUUGUAUCCAUAGUAUCCACAACUCUGACCAUUAAUUUGUGAACAAACCAGUGAUCUCUACAAGAUGCUCUCAUGGCCAGUAGCAUGAAAGUUCUGAGAGUCAUCACAACUAUGAACUUCAGAGAAGCCCAUCAACAUAGUCUGUCUGUCCCAAGAAAGCAUGGUGGGCAGCCUACUAGAAUUCACGAUCCCGCCCACACAUCCUAUAGACAGGCCUCCUGUGCACAGACUUCAAGGAGGUGUUUUAACAAUUGAUACAUUUUUAUAGUAUCUCAGAAUUGCCUUCUAUCCUUCAUGUAGUCUAGCUUUUAGGAAUUCAGGGCUUUAAAAAUAGCAACAGGUAAAUAUGAGCUUUGGCAGCCUUUCUGGGAUGUGUAAGGGGAUGUACAGGUCUGCCUAUUUGCCUGUCUGUCUGCCUCUUUCUCUCUCCCUCUAAAUAGACGUAGACAGACUUCUAUAUUCCUAUCCAUAUCUGUGUUCUAUAUCCAUCUUUCUACCUAUCUAUGUCUAUUCCUUGGCACAACACAUCACAUUUUCUCCGUUCAUACAUAGUCAUAUUGAAGAUCAAUAUGCAUAUGGAUCUCCAUAACUGUCACUGAAAUUCUGCAAGUUGGAUAUAUUUGUUACCAUUUUAUGAAGGAAUAAAAUGAAAACCUAGUGACAAUAAGAUAUUUGUCCAAAGGUAGAAUUUUUUAAAAACUGCUGAAUUGGGAUUCAAACUUGUCUAUCUGGGUUCAUAAUUCUAUUGUAUUUUCUUUACUAUGUGGUUUAUCUCUCUUACUCCUUAUAUGCAAAUAAUGAUCUUUUAAUGAAGGAAAAGCAAACUAUUGAAGCAAAUUCUUAUGCUUAAUUCUAUGGAUCAUUUAAUAACAUAUAAAGAAUAGUGACUAUCAUACAUUUAAAAGCAUGUUUUUCAGCAUUUUUCACUUAUCCCAAAUGUAAUAUAAGGGUUAUAUAUUAAAUAUAAGGAUUAUUUUAAAAAUUCCUUUAUAACCACUGUAAUGUGAUUCAAAAGUCUGAACAAAUUAUACCUCUAUACAUUCCAUUAAUAGACUCAGAAAUAUCUGAAAAAAUAUUAAAUAUUAUUUGUUCACACAAAUAAUAUUUAGUGAACCACAAUGUCAAAUUGAGGAGGAUUAAAAAGAAAACUGAUAACAUACAUAAAACAAUCAGAUUCACUUUCUGUUCUGGCUAGAAGAGUGAAAUAAAAUACAUUUACCCUUAGCAGAAUAUUUCAUUUUUUAUCCUUGCUUUCUCUUUACUUCUCAUUUACUUUUCAUUUAUUUUAUUGUGGAACAAUCUCAAAAUUGCCAAAUAAUUGAAUGCAAUUGAAAUUUUUUUUUUUAUUCUGAACCAUUUGAGAAAAGUUACUAACAGGAGACUGCCUCAUUUUGGUUUCUUCAGUACGUAUUUCCUAAAUAAAGUAUGUUCUCCUACACAACCACAAGUCAGACACCAAAAUCAGAAAAUCAUCACUGAUGCAUUGCAAUCAUCUAAUCCCCAAAUCACAUUUAGUUCCAUCCAGUUGUGCAAAUAAUAUCCCUUAUAGCAAAACUCCAGCAUAGACGUAUGUGCUGUAUUUAGUCAUAUUUCCGCUCCAUCAGUGUGGAACAGUUUUUACUAUUCCUGACUUUUUUUGAGGGGAGGGGGGCAUGUUCACAGCAUGCAGAAUUUCCAGGGCCAGGGAUCAAACCUGCACUACAGUAGCAACCCAAGCCACAGCAGUGACAAUGCCUUAUCCUUAACCGCUGCACCGCCUGGGAACUCUAAUUUCCCUGACUUUAAUGACCUUGACACUAUUCAAAGAUUACAGGCCAGUUUUUUGCAGAAUGUCCCUCAAUUUGGGUCUGUCUGCUAUUUCCCCACAUUUUGAUGUAGGUGAGGCAGGAAGGUACCUCUCAGUUCAUUGAUUGAGUGGCACUGCUUCAGUUUUCCCAUUAUUAAAGAUAUCCCCUCAGAUCACUUGAUUCAGUUACUACCUCCCACCCCCCUGAUGUGUACUAACAUCCUACCCCAAACUGCUGCCCUGCCCAGACACUCUCCCAAGUGCACUUGUGCUUGGACCUCUCAUUUUUAGCGACCCUCCCCACUUCACCAGGGUUUUGACCUUCUGCACUGGGCUUUCCCACUGAGUAAAUGCCCCUUUUACACCUCCCAGUCUCUAAUAUCUGAAACUGACACCCUUUUAUGCCACUUGCUUCUUGUCCCUUCAAGACUGCCUCCAGAACUCCAAGCUGACUUGCCUCCCUGCUCAGCUCUAACACCCUUCCCUGAUGUCCUUCUGAGUCUUUAACAGGCUCUGACAUCUUACACUGGAUGGUCCCAUAUGGGAAAGACUUACUCUCCUUGGACUCCAAGAUCCCCUGUGGGCUUACUUGCUGCCAUAGUGACCCCCUUCCCAAUUCACUUGGAUUCGGAUGUCCCAUUCUGACCUUUCUCACCAGUCAGAUACUCUCCCUGUUUCCAACAAGCCAAGCCAGCUGCCCCUCCCAGGCAAUGCCCCUGCCCCCUGACAAUUAAGAUCCAACACCCUGCAUGGUCUGUCUUCCUGUAUUGUACACUUAUGACCCCUCCCAGGCUCCCACAUCCUAUGCCAGGCUUCCUUCCCAGGGGGCCCUUUUCUCACCCUACUCAAGCUCUGACUGCUUGUGCUAGGCAGCCCUCUUGUGAUGUACAGGCACUGGGCUGCCUUCUGUGUGGACGCCUGAUACACUCAACCAGUGCUCUGACACCCCAUGCCAAGCUGUGCUCUAGUCCCCCACGUGGAUACCUCCUCCCCUCACCUGGACUCUGACAACCCCUCUGGACCACCCCUGCUCCCCAUACCCUCCUAUGCUAAUGCUUACUUGACUUGACCCAUCCAAUGCUUUGGGAUGGAAUUAGUGACAAAGGAAAGCAAGAGAAAGAUAAGAGAAAGAGGGAAAGGAUGAGAACUCACUGCUAAUGUAUGCUUUAUUUUAUUUAAAUGUGUAAGAUGCCUUAAAUCCUAUUUCUAAAGUACUUAUGGACAAAAUAAAGCAAAUAAACAACUUUGUUUUAAGUGAGCUACAUAUAGACUCAAAUGUAUUACCAUGAUGUUCAACAAUUUGUGUCAGAAAAAUGUAUUUAUCAGAGUAAUGUUUUGUAAAUUUAUAGCUCCAAAGAUGAUUCAGAUUUAAGUAAGGUUCUCUUGGAUAAAUGCCAGCACUCCUUUUAAAUCUCUUGAAACUCUUACCUCAAAUUUCUUAAGAAAGCCACAAGUUGAACUUCCACAUGAUAAUAUUUAUUCAUGUGGUACUGACAAGAAAUUCUCUGAUUUAAGAGCAAAGGGCAGUGAUAAGCUGAAGGAAAUAAAUAGUGAUAAGCAGAAUAAAAUAAUUAUCCUGAACAUUUUAAAUAUCAUCUCUUUCAAGAGCUACUGGAUCAAAUGCUAAUUUUUUAAAAAAAUUAAGUUUGCAUUUAAUCCACUUGCAGAAAGAAUAUUAUGGCCCAUUAAGUGUCAUUCUGUAAUGGAAAUGAAAAGGUCAUAACUAAAUUGGAGAAAGGCUUUUAUCCAUUAAUGUACAGAAAGCCUCAGCAUCUGCUCCGCCAUUGCUAUGAAUCAACAUGAGAAAUCCCCAGCAGAGUGAAACCACAGCAGAUUUCAAUUCAACAUGUUGAGACCUAUCCACAGCUCUAAGUAUUUUUUAUAGAUGUCCAGUGAACAUUCAGGAAAAUAAUUGAGAUGGCAUCUCUAAGAAUUCUAUUUGCAAGGUCACAACUGUCCCCUGUCAUCUCUCCACUGAGGAAGGUAGUCUCUCCUCACCUUCCCUCUCUGCCCCAUUUCAGCUUUUUCCUCCCCUUACUCGGUAAGCACACACCAAUACAUUUUCCUUAGAAAGACAGAGUUUAGGGUAGGCAAUACUGCAAAACAAAGCAUGCUUAAACAUAGUGGCUAAAAGUAACAACCUGAAAUAUACAACAUUGUAAGUCAACUAUACU